rnacentral:rRNA from 1 species
AUUGAACGCUGGCGGCAGGCCUAACACAUGCAAGUCGAACGAGUGGCGGACGGGUGAGUAGUGUCUGGGAAACUGCCCGAUGGAGGGGGAUAACUACUGGCAACGGUAGCUAAUACCGCUUACCAUCGUAUGUGCCCAGAUGGGAUUAGCGAGUAGGUGGGGUAAUGGCUCACCUAGGCGACGAUCCCUAGCGUGUCUGAGAGGAUGCCCAGCCACACUGUAACUGAGACACGGUCCAGACUCCUACGGGAGGCAGCAGUGGGGAAUAUUGCACAAUGGGCGCAAGCCUGAUGCAGCCAUGCCGCGUGUAUGAAGAAGGCCUUCGGGUUGUAAAGUACUUUCAGCGAGGAGGCGGUACUGGCAGAAGAAGUACCGGCUAACUCCGUGCCAGCCGCCGCGGUAAUUG